UACGGGGGGGGCAAGCGUUGUUCGGAAUUACUGGGCGUAAAGGGCUCGUAGGCGGCCAACUAAGUCAGACGUGAAAUCCCUCGGCUUAACCGGGGAACUGCGUCUGAUACUGGAUGGCUUGAGAUCGGGAGAGGGAUGCGGAAUUCCAGGUGUAGCGGUGAAAUGCGUAGAUAUCUGGAGGAACACCGGUGGCGAAGGCGACAUCCUGGACCAACACUGACGCUGAGGAGCGAAAGCCAGGGGAGCAAACGGG
rnacentral:rRNA from 1 species